CAAUAGCGUAUAUUAAAGUUGUUGCAGUUAAAAAGCUCGUAGUUGGAUUUGUGGCGUACGGUGUGUUCCGGGCACUUGUUGUCUGAGUAACCUGCUGUUGCCAUCCUUGGGUGGAACCUGUGUGGCAUUAGGUUGUCGUGCAGGGGAUGCCCAUCAUUUACUGUGAAAAAAUUAGAGUGUUCAAAGCAGGCUUAUGCCGUUGAAUAUAUUAGCAUGGAAUGAUGAGAUAGGACUUUUUUGCUAUUUUGUUGGUUUGCGCAAAGAGGUAAUGAUUAAUAGGGACAGUUGGGGGUAUUCGUAUUCCAUAGUCAGAGGUGAAAUUCUUGGAUUUUUGGAAGACGAACUACUGCGAAAGCAUUUACCAAGGAUGUUUUCAUUAA
rnacentral:rRNA from 1 species